rnacentral:rRNA from 1 species
GUGACGGAAGAUUGAAAAGAACUUUGAAGAGAGAGUUCAAUAGUACGUGAAACUGUGUGGUGGUAAACGGAGGGGUUCUCGAAGUUUCUGUGGGGAACUCAGCCUUGGUGUCGCGUGGCCCUGUUGUAUCCGAUCAGCAAUGACGGUGCGGCUUGGCUUGCGUGUCUCUCGGGUGCAUUUCCCCCGCAGUUUACGGCAGGAACUGUUUGGAGCUCACCGAAGGCCCUGGGUGAAGUUGUUGGUUCUGCUAGCAGCCCCGGGUGUCCUGGCUUAGCACCAGACAGGUACGUGAGAGGACUCGUAUAGCGAGCAAUGCUCUGUUGCGGUUCUCAUCUCUCUGCCGAGUAGGUCGGCGGCCCCUCCGACCCGUCUUGAAACACGGACC